rnacentral:rRNA from 1 species
CCUACGGGAGGCAGCAGUGAGGAAUAUUGGUCAAUGGGCGGGAGCCUGAACCAGCCAAGUCGCGUGAGGGAAGACGGUCCUAUGGAUUGUAAACCUCUUUAGGCGGGGAGCAAUGCCGGGCACGCGUGCCCGGAGGGAGAGUACCCGCAGAAUAAGCAUCGGCUAACUCCGUGCCAGCCGCCGCGGUAAUACGGGGGAUGCGAGCGUUAUCCGGAUUUAUUGGGUUUAAAGGGUGCGUAGGCGGAGUUUUAAGUCAGCGGUAAAAUGUCCGGGCUCAACCCGGGCCGGCCGUUGAAACUGGGGAUCUUGAGUGGGCGAGAAGUAUGCGGAAUGCGUGGUGUAGCGGUGAAAUGCAUAGAUAUCACGCAGAACUCCGAUUGCGAAGGCAGCAUACCGGCGCCCGACUGACGCUGAGGCACGAAAGCGUGGGGAUCGAACAGGAUUAGAUACCCGUGUAGUC